rnacentral:rRNA from 1 species
CCUACGGGAGGCAGCAGUGGGGAAUAUUGGACAAUGGAGGAGACUCUGAUCCAGCAAUUCUGUGUGCACGAAGAAGGUUUUCGGAUUGUAAAGUGCUUUCAGUGGGGAAGAAGGAAGUGACGGUACCCACAGAAGAAGCGACGGCUAAAUACGUGCCAGCAGCCGCGGUAAUACGUAUGUCGCGAGCGUUAUCCGGAAUUAUUGGGCAUAAAGGGCAUCUAGGCGGACGAGCAAGUCAGGGGUGAAAACUUGCGGCUCAACUGUAAGCUUGCCUUUGAAACUGAUUGUCUAGAGUAUUGGAAUGGUGGGCGGAACUACACGAGUAGAGGUGAAAGUCGUAGAUAUGUGUAGGAAUGCCGAUGAUGAAGAUAGCUCACUGGACGAUAACUGACGCUGAAGUGCGAAAGCUAGGGGAGCGAACAGGAUUAGAUACCCUUGUAGUC